UUGAACGCUGGCGGCAGGCCUAACACAUGCAAGUCGAGCGGAUGAAGGGAGCUUGCUCCUGGAUUCAGCGGCGGACGGGUGAGCAAUGCCUAGGAAUCUGCCUGGUAGUGGGGGAUAACGUCCGGAAACGGGCGCUAAUACCGCAUACGUCCUGAGGGAGAAAGUGGGGGAUCUUCGGACCUCACGCUAUCAGAUGAGCCUAGGUCGGAUUAGCUAGUUGGUGGGGUAAAGGCCUACCAAGGCGACGAUCCGUAACUGGUCUGAGAGGAUGAUCAGUCACACUGGAACUGAGACACGGUCCAGACUCCUACGGGAGGCAGCAGUGGGGAAUAUUGGACAAUGGGCGAAAGCCUGAUCCAGCCAUGCCGCGUGUGUGAAGAAGGUCUUCGGAUUGUAAAGCACUUUAAGUUGGGAGGAAGGGCAGUAAGUUAAUACCUUGCUGUUUUGACGUUACCAACAGAAUAAGCACCGGCUAACUUCGUG
rnacentral:rRNA from 1 species